UCCNCGGAAUACUUCCAGCCUACAAUAUG
rnacentral:piRNA from 1 species